GGACACAGGAAGGGUUAGCACAUUCCCAGCACUGGCACAUCAGUCAGGAGGCAAGGCCCCCAGGGGAAAAGGACACAUGGAGUGUGUCUGUGUGAGGAACAGAGCUUUGGGUAUCUGCUGUUCCAGAAAUGAGCUCUUAUGAGUUGGAGAAGCACCAAUUGACUCAUCAAGUUUUGACAUUGGCUGCGGAGCUUGAAAUGCCUCCUGUCCAAGAAUUCACCACUCUGUCCUGUGAGCCUCGUGGGGAGCACAGUUAAAGGGCCUACAGUGUUCCCGGGACACACUGUCUGACUGUUUGAACUGGUGAAGAAUGUGUGGAGCCCUUAUUGUAUAUGGAUGGCACGCUGCAUGGCCGUUGGACCGGCCAGGAAAGGAAUUCCACUGGCCUAUAGCUCUGAAGCAGGUGAUUCUCUACAGCUUUCCUGGAAGCCCCCGCUUCUGCUGACUGACCGCAGGUCUGCCUGGGACUCGCGCGGGAGACGUCUGGCUUCCAAACUUUGUGCAAGCGUCUCUGAAAGGCAGAUGCUAACAUCCAAACGUACAGGGAAGAUUUCUAAGGAAGGGUUUCCAGGCUUCUCUACCCUGUGGCACAGAGGAGGAUGGAGCAGGAAGUGGCAUUGAGGCCAACUCAUCAGCUGAGAACCAAGGACAUUGCCUGUAUCCAUUUAAGACCUUUUUUCAGGGGGCGUCUGAGUGGCUUAGUCGGUUUAACGUCUGACCUCGGCUCAGGUCAUUAUCUCGCGGCUCCUGAGUUCGAGCCCUGCGUUGGGCUCUAUGGCUGAUGCCUGGGGCCUGCUUCGAAUUCUGUGUUUCCCUCACUCUGCCCCUCCCCCAUUCGCACUCUCUCUCAAAAGUAAAUAAACAUUAAAAAAAUUUUUUUAAACACA